GAUGAACGCUGGCGGCGUGCCUAAUACAUGCAAGUCGAGCGAACGGACGAGAAGCUUGCUUCUCUGAUGUUAGCGGCGGACGGGUGAGUAACACGUGGAUAACCUACCUAUAAGACUGGGAUAACUUCGGGAAACCGGAGCUAAUACCGGAUAAUAUUUUGAACCGCAUGGUUCAAAAGUGAAAGACGGUCUUGCUGUCACUUAUAGAUGGAUCCGCGCUGCAUUAGCUAGUUGGUAAGGUAACGGCUUACCAAGGCAACGAUGCAUAGCCGACAUGAGAGGGUGAUCGGCCACACUGGAACUGAGACACGGUCCAGACUCCUACGGGAGGCAGCAGUAGGGAAUCUUCCGCAAUGGGCGAAAGCCUGACGGAGCAACGCCGCGUGAGUGAUGAAGGUCUUCGGAUCGUAAAACUCUGUUAUUAGGGAAGAACAUAUGUGUAAGUAACUGUGCACAUCUUGACGGUACCUAAUCAGAAAGCCACGGCUAACUACGUG
rnacentral:rRNA from 1 species